AUGGAUGCCUGCGCUCUGAACUCGAUGGAGGUGAAGGCCAAGCCGGCGAGGGGAGGGAAGAGCGGCAGGGGGAGCGGCGGCACGGCCGGGGUACUGCUGGAGAAGAAGGAGUCGGAGAAGGAGAGGAGGAAGCGCAUGAAGGCGCUGUGCGAGAAACUCGCAUCCCUUAUCCCAAGAGAACACUGUUGCUGCAACGCUGAUACAAUGACCCAGCUAGGCAGCCUGGAUGCGGGGGCGUCAUACAUUAAGAAGUUGAAGGAGAGGAUCGAUGAACUACAACGUAGGAGGAGCUCUAUACAAGCCUUGGAUACCAUAAGAGGAGAUACUAGCAUUCCAACGCCCACCACCAUCACUAUCAUGAGCAGCGGUGCAGGGUCACCAGAAGAAGGGAAAGCUUGGGAGGAAUUAGCACCGGUAUUGCAGGUGCGAGAACACAACGGUUCAACGAUGGAGGUGAGGUUGAUAUGCUGCAUGGAGAGGCCGAUCAAGCUCCACGAGGUGAUCACCAUCCAUGAGGAAGAAGGUGCAACGAUUGUCAAUGCCAAUCACUCUAUUGCUGGCCACAAAAUGGUCUAUACUAUACAUUCUCAGGCCUUCAGCUCUAGAAUUGGCAUAGACGUUUCAAGGGUUUCUGAGCGAUUGGGAGCCUUGGCACUACCAUGCAUGCACGGCAAUCAGGUCCUCAGGUACACCGACCAGUCCAAUGUGUCUCCUCCCAAGGAGCUUGUCAGCAACAAUGAUAUAGGUGGAACCGAGAAGGUGUCACACCCCGAGUGUGAAACAUUGGUUGGGCAAGACCAAGCGAUGUGGAGUUCCAUGCUUGCGUCAAUAUCACCAGAAAUAUUCAAGUAG
rnacentral:rRNA from 1 species